UACAGAGGGUGCAAGCGUUGUUCGGAAUUAUUGGGCGUAAAGCGCGUGUAGGCGGCAUGGCAAGUCGGGUGUGAAAGCCCUCAGCUUAACUGAGGAAGUGCGCCCGAAACUGCCGUGCUUGAGUGCCGGAGAGGGUGGCGGAAUUCCCCAAGUAGAGGUGAAAUUCGUAGAUAUGGGGAGGAACACCGGUGGCGAAGGCGGCCAACUGGACGAAUACUGACGCUGAGACUCGAAAGCGUGGGGAGCAAACAGG
rnacentral:rRNA from 1 species